rnacentral:rRNA from 1 species
UACGAAGGGGGCUAGCGUUGCUCGGAAUCACUGGGCGUAAAGCGCACGUAGGCGGGUUCUUAAGUCAGGGGUGAAAUCCUGGAGCUCAACUCCAGAACUGCCUUUGAUACUGGGAAUCUCGAGUCCGGGAGAGGUGAGUGGAACUGCGAGUGUAGAGGUGAAAUUCGUAGAUAUUCGGAAGAACACCAGUGGCGAAGGCGGCUCACUGGCCCGGUACUGACGCUGAGGUGCGAAAGCGUGGGGAGCAAACAGG